GCAUUUGACCGCUCCUCCCUCCGCGUUGGAGGCGGAAUAGUGGGUUUUGCUGCAACCGGUUUAUUUUCCUUCUGUUUUCACCCAUUCUGGCACAAUCUGGCGCCAUCGUCCUUCUUGUGAGGCCAAGCCUGAAAAUGCGAAGCAGAGAGGCAGGACCAAAAUUGAGGCGAAUCCAGGAACCUGCCAAUGGGUCUCCGGGUGCGGUCUCUGAAACUGGAGGAUAUCGGGAGGAAAGGGUAUGGAAGAGGGAUAAAACACGGUGCCUUAGGUGUGUUGAAGACAGAGUCGGGCCAAAAAUAUAUGAUUUACUGAGAUGCGUGUCGUGUUCUUGCGCUUUAUCUUGUAGCUCUCCGAUGCGGAGAUAAUGGGGAAGCUCUUGGCAUGGUUGGCUGUAGGUAUGUGAUACCGGAGGAGCAGGAGUCAAAUAGGAUACGCCGACUUUUAAUUCAAGGAACCCUUUUCUGAAACACUUUGCCACAAUGAAGGAAAUAAGGAAUUGUACUCUCAGAGAUGUUGAGAAAAGAUACAUGGGUCUUGGAAGAUAAUUACUCAAAAUAUGCAGGGAAGGUAUGGGACUUACACAUUUAUUUUGAUAAAAGAACACAGAAAAGGUCAGGUAUGAGCAGAAAAUUGACAUUUAUUUCAGCCUAAUGUGGAUACUGUACUCUGAAUUAAAAAUUUCUUUUCCUUACUCUUCCAGCUUUUAAAGAUAAGUAUUAUUUCAAAAUAGUAUUUUUUUAAUUAAUAGAUUCAAUUCAGGAAAGGCAUUGGAGGGGGUGGAGCUUUUAACUUUGACAGUCUCACUCUGUUGCCCAGG
rnacentral:lncRNA from 1 species